rnacentral:rRNA from 1 species
UACGAAGGGGGCUAGCGUUGCUCGGAAUCACUGGGCGUAAAGGGUGCGUAGGCGGGUCUUUAAGUCAGGGGUGAAAUCCUGGAGCUCAACUCCAGAACUGCCUUUGAUACUGAGGAUCUUGAGUUCGGGAGAGGUGAGUGGAACUGCGAGUGUAGAGGUGAAAUUCGUAGAUAUUCGGAAGAACACCAGUGGCGAAGGCGGCUCACUGGACUGGUAUUGACGCUGAGGUGCGAAAGCGUGGGGAGCAAACAGGG